GAUGAACGCUGGCGGCGUGCUUAACACAUGCAAGUCGAACGAUGAAGCCCAGCUUGCUGGGUGGAUUAGUGGCGAACGGGUGAGUAACACGUGAGUAACCUGCCCUUAACUCUGGGAUAAGCCUGGGAAACUGGGUCUAAUACCGGAUAGGAGCGUCCACCGAAUGGUGGGUGUUGGAAAGAUUUAUCGGUUUUGGAUGGACUCGCGGCCUAUCAGCUUGUUGGUGAGGUAAUGGCUCACCAAGGCGACGACGGUUAGCCGGCCUGAGAGGGUGGCCGGCGACACUGGGACUGAGGCACGGCCCAAGGUCGUACGGGGGGCAGCGGUGGGAAAUGUUACACAAUGGGCGCAAGCCUGAUGCAGCGACGCCGCGUGAGGGAUGACGGCCGUCGGGUUGUAAGCCUCUUUCGGUAUGGAAGAAGCGAAAGUGACGGUACCUGCAGAAGAAGCACCGGCUAACUACGUG
rnacentral:rRNA from 1 species